GCUUCUAUAGUAUAAUGGCUAGUACGCGAGACUUGUAAUCUUGAAAUCCGUGUUCGAUUCACGGUAGAAGCA
rnacentral:tRNA from 1 species